rnacentral:lncRNA from 1 species
AGAACGCGCUGCUGCGUCCAGACGCACGGGCUGCUACUGGUCCCGGGAGGAGACAGGACAGUGUCCCUGCACAGAGCGAUCCCACUACCAAGCGACAAGAAAAAUCAAAGAAGUCUGCACCCGAGCGCGGCGGGAAAGCAGGACAGAGGGCAUCCAGCGUCCCAACUCACAACUGGGAGCGCCGAGGCGGUUCCCGCAUGAGAUGAAAGUCACCUGGAUCAGCUAACCUCUCCGCCAGUGGCUCAGCGCACAGAGAUCUGUGGAUCCGCCACAUGUGAUCGUCUGCACCCCGCCAGCCAGUCCUGAUCGCACCCAGCUCGUCCUCCCUCUAGGGCAGGUGGCCCUUACCUGUCGCGGUCCUCGGGUUCCUCUCGACAGAAGGAAGAACAAUUCCCACUGCAUGUGGCCAUGUGAUGUUGGAUAAUACACAGGAAUCCUACACAUAGGCUACUAGGGACACCUGCGAGGACAACAGCUACCACCAGAAACACCAAACACAUGGGCUUCUCUGUCGCUAUGAAGGAGACUCCAAGACCAAAAUGUGGCGGGAACACUGACUCGUCACCUGUCCUCUUGUCAGAGCCUUGUUCUGAAAAACUGCCACAGUGGAGGAAGGGCUCUUACCUCUGUCCUCAGGCUCCUACCUAUGACAUCCAGCCAACUUCUUAUGGACCCUCGAAGCAGCCUGCCACCUGGACCUGGACCUUUCAGGAACAGCUGGUGUGUCUUCCGUGAAAGAACACACAUGGAGCAGAUCCAAAUCCAAGUCCAAAGAAGAGCUGAGCCCCGUAAGACCUGCCACCUGAAACAGGGCCAUCUGCUGGGUCCAACCUGAAGCCACCAUUUAAUCAUCCCGAAGCAUGAAAGUAGAUGUCUAUUGAUGAAAGAGUUAGAGUUUAGGUGAUUUGCUAGACAGCAAAUCUAACUGUGAAAAUGCCAUUGAGAAAGGAAGGCCCCAGGACUGGGCUGGAUAAAUGAUAGCUCAUGUGGAAAUUCCACUGCAAUUUAAACACAUUGCUAAGCUUGCAUUACUCCUGAAUCUUCAUGAUUAGCAUAUGGCCCUAAAUGGGGGGUUCACAGCAACCACGGAGGAUGCUAAAGCUACUCAUGAGACUGCACUGUUCUUUCUUUGGAUCAGGGUUCCAGCUUCAGCACUGUAGGCACCGGGAGCCACAUCCUUUCUGUGGAAGCUGUCUGGUGUAUCAUAAGACAUUUAGCAGAACCUACCCACUCUAUCUCCUCGGUGACAGAAGAGCCCGCCCCCACAGCAGUUGUCAUAAUUGAAAAAUGCUUGCAGGCAUUUCUAACUAUUCCUGCAGGGAACUGUAGUCCUCAGCUCAUGCUUUUGUUGUCCUUCUGAUCUUGGAAGCUAAGCAGGGCCAGGCCUGGUUAAUACUUGGAUGGGAGAAUUGUGUUCUUAUGGGAAACUGGAAUUUAGUUUGGUUAAGUCAAAUAUACAAUAGUAGACAUCAUCUGGCUGUAUUUUAAAAUCUAGUCAUAUAAUAAUUUAACUUCUACUAAAAAUAAAAAGAUCUGGAAUACAAUCCUAACUGCCCGAAUAGUGGUGCCUAUAGUUAAAAAAAUAAAAGUAAAUAUAUCCUUAUUGAUGGCUGUGGGAAAACCCAAAGGUUAUUAUUAUUUUGGCAGACAGACAUCCUCAGUUGAUCUGCACCUACUCCGAUGUUGGGCAAUGCCUUCCUUGUUACACACGUCAACAGACAGCUUAGUGGGAUAGGUGAUACCAUGGACAUUGUUUCUAAGACACAGCCUCAUAGCCAGCUUAACACUCAAUAAAAAUGAGCAGGGACUAGCCAAUUCUUAAGCAUAAAGUGAGGAACUUCAAAUACCACCUUUCUCCAGGAUUCCAUUUCUAUCAAAGGAUGAAGCAAAGCUUUCAUUUCCUGGAAGUUUAUGUGCUUCGGUAGGAAUGCGAGCAAAUGCCAGUUCAGUGUAAAACCUGACUAUGGGACAUGUGUUUAAAAUAAAUGUCAGAAACAUCUUGUAUUCGUGAUUGUAACCUCCUCAGCCUAUCAGAUACAUCUGAACUACCUUAACCCCAAAAAUUUCUGUUAUUAAAUUUUCAAAUCCA